rnacentral:misc_RNA from 1 species
GCAAACUUGGUCAUUUAGAGGAAGUAAAAGUCGUAACAAGGUUUCCGUAGGUGAACCUGCGGAAGGAUCAUUAACAAAUUAUCCACAAUUAUGGAUAAUUUUAUCCAUACCCACCUUGUGUGCAUGAUUGAACUGUUUGUUGGCAGGUUGAUCUUCUCUGGGUUUUAGAGAGUCGUGAGUUAGGCGUUUUUGCCUUCUCGGCCUGCCAAUUUUAUUGUGUAAACAUGUCUAAAUAUUAGUGUCUGAAAUAAUAAAUUUAAUAACAAAUACAACUUUCAACAACGGAUCUCUUGGCUCUCGCAUCGAUGAAGAACGCAGC